rnacentral:pre_miRNA from 1 species
UCUUACAGAUGAGCAAAGAAAAUGGUUUCUUGAGAUGGAAUCUACUCCUGGUGAACAUGUUGUGAA